rnacentral:tRNA from 1 species
GCAUCUGUAGCUGAGUGGUUUAGCUCUGGGCUCUUAACCCGGAGACGGAGGUUCGAUUCCUCCCAGAUGCA